rnacentral:rRNA from 1 species
AACGAACGCUGGCGGCAUGCCUAACACAUGCAAGUCGAACGAUGCCUUCCGGCAUAGUGGCGCACGGGUGCGUAACGCGUGGGAAUCUGCCUUUCGGUUCGGAAUAACUCAGGGAAACUUGAGCUAAUACCGGAUAACGUCGCAAGACCAAAGAUUUAUCACCGAAAGAUGAGCGCGCGUAGGAUUAGCUAGUUGGUGAGGUAAAGGCUCACCAAGGCGACGAUCCUUAGCUGGUCUGAGAGGAUGAUCAGCCACACUGGGACUGAGACACGGCCCAGACUCCUACGGGAGGCAGCAGUGGGGAAUAUUGGACAAUGGGCGAAAGCCUGAUCCAGCAAUGCCGCGUGAGUGAUGAAGGCCUUAGGGUUGUAAAGCUCUUUUACCCGGGAAGAUAAUGACGGUACCGGGAGAAUAAGCCCCGGCUAACUCCGUG